rnacentral:misc_RNA from 1 species
GAUGAAGAACUUAGUGAAAUGCGAUAAGUAAUGUGAAUUGCAGAAUUCAGUGAAUCAUCGAAUCUUUGAACGCACAUUGCGCCCCUUGGUAUUCCGAGGGGCAUGCCUGUUCGAGCGUCAUUAUAACCCCUCAAGCUCAGCUUGGUGUUGGGGCCUGCUGCACUGGCAGCCCUUAAAAUCAGUGGCGGCGCCAUCUGGCUCUAAGCGUAGUAAUUCUUCUCGCUAUGGAGUCCUGGUGGAUGCUUGCCAUCAACCCCCAAUUUUUCUAUGGUUGACCUCGGAUCAGGUAGGGAUACCCGCUGAACUUAAGCAUAUCAAUAACGGAGGA